AGAAAGACAAACUUAGUCCUUUUGGAUCUUAGAUGAGGAACUUGGCUUAGAGCCCUCUGUAGUCAGUGGCUUUGUCCACUUUCCACAUGGGUGGGCCACUGGCUGAGAUUCAGCUACCAGUGGCCCCGUCCAGAACACCCGAGGCCUGCAGCAAUCACAAGCUGUCACCACCACAGCAGCGUGUCCCCUGAGCUGCUUCCACUGUGUAGCAGACAGAUCAUGCUACUCCACAGGCUCAGGGUAACACAGCUCUCUGAUUCAUCCAGAAGGCUGUACCCAUUGGGAACUGUCCCCUUCCCCAUUGCAGAAGGUUGUUUCUUGGAAAGUGGGGUCUGGGCUGUGCCUAUGCAUGUGUCCCUGACUUAUGGACAUCCAGGGACUUUCCCUGGUUCUCAAAGAGGGCACCACUUUGCCUUACAAACUUAUGUCUAACCCCAGCUGGUCAUCUCAAAGUGGCUUUUUGAGACUCUUCCACAGGUUUAUGACCCUUAGUGGUCAGAACUUGAGCUGGUUCCUACUGCCCCCUGGAGUGAGGACAAGUCCUCAAUUCUGCAGGCUUUUCCUUCUGCAAUUACUCUGAAAAGCAAGGUCCUGCCAGAGGCUGGCUUAUUUCAAGACAGCAGCUAGAAAUACCACUGGUACCUGACAUAGCCAAUGAAAUGGAGGGGACCAACCUGGCAGAAGUGGGUCAGGCUGCGUCCCUAGUGUGAUGGCCAGUUCCCACCAAUUGUGGCCUUGAGGCUUGCUGGAGAUGACCUUCAACUUCUGAUCCUGCUUACACAUUCGAGUUGGGAGAUUACAGGUGUUUGUGCAGCACCAGGCCUCAUGUAUGCCAGGCAAGCAUAGC